rnacentral:rRNA from 1 species
GUAGGUGGCAAGCGUUGUCCGGAAUUAUUGGGCGUAAAGCGCGCGCAGGCGGUUCUUUAAGUCUGAUGUGAAAGCCCACGGCUCAACCGUGGAGGGUCAUUGGAAACUGGAGAACUUGAGUACAGAAGAGGAAAGCGGAAUUCCACGUGUAGCGGUGAAAUGCGUAGAGAUGUGGAGGAACACCAGUGGCGAAGGCGGCUUUCUGGUCUGUAACUGACGCUGAGGCGCGAAAGCGUGGGGAGCAAACAGGAUUAGAUACCCUGGUAGUCCACGCCGUAAACGAUGAGUGCUAAGUGUUAGGGGGGGUUUUACCGGCCCCCCCGUUAGUGCUGCAGCUAACGCAUUAAGCACUCCCGCCUGGGUAGUACGGUCCGCAAGGCUG